GACGAAGGGGGCUAGCGUUGUUCGGAAUUACUGGGCGUAAAGGGCUCGUAGGCGGCCAACUAAGUCGGAUGUGAAAUCCCCAGGCUUAACCUGGGAACUGCAUCCGAUACUGGAUGGCUUGAAUCCGGGAGAGGGAUGCAGAAUUCCAGGUGUAGCGGUGAAAUGCGUAGAUAUCUGGAGGAAUACCGGUGGCGAAGGCGGCAUCCUGGACCGACACUGACGCUGAGGAGCGAAAGCCAGGGGAGCAAACGGG
rnacentral:rRNA from 1 species